ACUAAUAAUCUCAAAUAUAUUAAGUGUAUAAUCUAUGCUAAUAAUGCCUAAACUUUCUACGCGGUUUUAAUCGUGAAAAAAAAAACAAUUAUAAAUCCUGAAGGAUCAAUUAAUUGGUAUACAGUUUAAUUCAAAAAAUUAAAAAAUAAAUAAAUAAAAUAAUGUGCAUUCGCGUAAAGUUAGACCAAAUACAUUUUUUCCAUCCUCCUAUAUACCUAUCGCUAUGAAGGUAUAAAAAAGAUAGGUUAAGAGUUCACAUAGCUGGAAAACGACAUGGAGAAUUAUAUGCAAUACAAGAUAAUGAGCUCCGUCAAAUGAAUUCGAAUGAAACCAAACUGUUUACCAUCCAAAUUCGAUUGUCGGGCAGAUAGAAAACGAAAAUUCACUCAUAGUGAACAUCGGCCUGCAUUUGUGAAACGGCAAAGACUCACUAUUAUCAAGGAAAUUGAAGAGACGACUAAAAAUGAGAUGUGUCGUAUUAUUAUACCUUAUCAAUAAUUAGUUACACUCACAGAUCUCCUAAUCAAAUAACAAUAUCAGAAAAAAUGAGAAUAGUUAGUUAGUUAGUGGAAGUAGCCAAAAUGGGCAAGUGGACCUCAGCUCCUAUUACAUAAGGUACUAGGAAGUUUGUGAAAAUGAAAAUUUAUCACAGUGUAAUAUCACUUACUUACUUUAACAGUGAAGGAAAACAUUGUGAUGAAACCUGCACACCUAAAUGUUCUUAGGAUUUUCUUAGGUGUUUAAUCCACCAACCAGCACUAGGCCAGCGUGGUGGACUAAGGCCUAAAAACCCUCUCAAUGGUAGUGAAGGCCAGUGUCCAGCAAGGGGAUAUAUUAUAUGGGCUGAUGAUGAUGACUAGGAAGUUAAAUACUACUACUACUACUACGACAGUACACAUAUAAUCCUAUAUAUUUACAAACUAUACGUUUGUUGGAAAUUGCUAACAUUAUUUCAUAUUUCCAGAUGUCCAGCCACUUGAAAAUAGGUGUAGUAAUGACAAAGCUAUCCAAGUAGCUCCAGCACAGGAACACAAAGGCAAGGCAAGUGUGUAUUGCCACAUCACCCCUUAAUAUAUCUGAAGCAAGUAUAAGUAAACAAUCAGAACCAGCAAAAAAAAAACUGUUGUUCCUGAGGACAAAUUUGACAGUGAUGAGUCAAAUGCACCAGCAACAGAAGGAUCAACUGUUGACUAUGAGUUAUCUCUCUAUAUCUCCACUCCAUCAAAGACUUGUGCACUUCAGACUAUAGCUCUCAAGAAGACUGAAAAAGUUGAAAAAAUGAAUGUGUUAACAACUUUAUCUAAAGUGAAAAAUAAACAACGUUUAUAUAUUGGUCUUCCACAAGAAUUAUAUUUCAUAAUAGGCUUGAUUGAGAAACAUGCAAAUGUUUCUGAACAAAAUAUUAUAUUAUGUUUGAUGAGAAUAACAUUAUAUAGAACAUUCUCUCAAUUGGCUGAUGAUUUCGAUUUAUCUGUAAGUCAAGCAAGCAAUAUAUUUUUCAACAAACUCCCAGAAAUUGCAAAUGUAAUAUCACCCCUUGUUAGACUAUAAAAAAAACAAUACAAUAAAUAUAUAUGCAGGAAGGAUAAUUGAUGUCAACUUGGUGGAAAAUAGAAAGUUUUUAGAUAGUUUGCCACCUACAAAACUCUUUAAUUAAAUAAGUAAUCCUUACUUAUAAAUAGGAAGUUUUGUAAGUAUUUUCACUCUUCAUUCAAAAAGUACUGAACAGAUUUUAAUAAGACUUUUAUGCUGGUCUUCUAUGGCUAGCAACUCAUUAUUAUUUUGAUUCUGUUUUCCACAAAUGUGCUAAAUAUGGGCUUAUAUAUGAGUCGUCUAUUAUCAAAGAUGGCAAUCUGUGCAUUUGGACAAAAUAUUUUUAUUGAUAUGUCAAUACAGAUUGAUUUGAAUAUAAUCGUCUCCUUCAAAGAAUACGGUUCAAAACCUUCACUAAAUAAAGGUUAAUAGUUAACCUGUUAUUUAUCUAAGAUUUCGUUCUGAAGAGUUUUGUGACUGCCAAUGGAAUACAAAGUCAAUAAUUCGUUUUUCUGAUUUACCAAUCAUUGUCCAUAAGUCAGAUUGCCGGCUUUGAUAAUAGUCGACUCAUAUAUGAAAAGGAAUAAAUAUUAAUGUUAUGUAACCUUUGUACCUGUAUGUUAAGAAUAAUUUUUAAUAAAACAUAAUUUAAAUUGAAA